UAGCGAAGGGGGCUAGCGUUGCUCGGAAUCACUGGGCGUAAAGCGCACGUAGGCGGAUUGUUAAGUCAGGGGUGAAAUCCUGGAGCUCAACUCCAGAACUGCCUUUGAUACUGGCGAUCUCGAGUCCGGGAGAGGUGAGUGGAACUGCGAGUGUAGAGGUGAAAUUCGUAGAUAUUCGCAAGAACACCAGUGGCGAAGGCGGCUCACUGGCCCGGUACUGACGCUGAGGUGCGAAAGCGUGGGGAGCAACAGG
rnacentral:rRNA from 1 species